UUAAAAUAAAUAAAUUUAAAGAUAAAAAAAUCAGAAUGGUGCAGAGAGGAUUAGCACGGCCCCUGCAUAUAUAAAAGACAUGCAAAUUCACAGAGUUUUUCAUAUUUUU
ensembl:snRNA LOC120094424 U6 spliceosomal RNA